GGUUCGAUUAUACACAUAAAAUGUAGAAAAACAUUGUAUUAGAUUUGGUGGGGUGCGCCAGGCCCGUGCAGUAGUGCAACGCAUGGGAGAUGCGCAAGAGCCCAGGUAGCAAGCUACCUUAAUGGACUCUUCCCCUUAAAAAAUUGAGUUAAUAUCGUGUGGAUCAAUGAUCCACAUAUCAGAUAUUCAACUGAUAAGAACAGAUACUACACUUGAUCUUAGCCAAAAGGCCGAAAAAGGUAUGCUUGCUUCAGUGUAAAUGAGUGGGUUUUGUGACAAAACACUUUGCUCAAGUCCUGUUUGGAUACCGAUGUGGGAAUCGAACAUACGGACAUCUAACUUGGACAAAAAAUUAACGAGAAGCACUUGCAUGAAUAAUGAAAGUUAAAAAUAAAUAAAAUAAUAUUUCCUUUCAUCUUGACUUCUUUAAGCAUUUGAUGCUUAAUUUUAAAACUUAUCAAUACGCAUAUUUGAGGAUUUUCCCCUUCAAACUAUAUACAAGUGAUCAUUUUAUCGCAAAGCAGCCAAAUCCUUGUGUUGGGAGUCAUCUCCAUGAGAAUUAGGCUUUCAUCUUUUGCCAAACAUUUUUUUCUGCAUUGACUAAAUCUAUUUAGAUGUCCUAACAGUAAAAAUUCUAUAUAGGAUCUAGUAUCAUAUCAUGUUGGAGAAUAAAGAGAGAAGAAACAAUGUCUAAGAAGAAAAAAGAAGAAUUGCGGAGAACGAUCACGUUAUAUUUUUAAAGCAAAUACUUAAAUAGGAAUUAAGACUCAACCACCUAAGAGAACCACAACGUUAUCUACUAAGCUAAAUAUUAGCAACUAACAAAAGAUAUGAUUUGACUCAAGUAGGACUCCUAACAAACGUGUUACUCUGCCAACUAAAUAGGAACCUUUGAAUCAAUAUUAAACACUCCCUCUUGAUUCAAAAUUACAAGAUCCAAGUUUAUGCCGGAACUGAUCAUGCUUGGCUUGUGGGAGUGUCUUGGUGAGAAUAUCUACAAUUUGAUCAUUUGUAUCGCAAAACUUCAACUAUCACCUGUUGCUGUGUGGUCACGAAUGAAAUGAUAACGGAUCUCUAUGUGCUUUGUUCUUCUGAAAAGCCGAAUUCUUUGUUGUCACAUCCGAGAUUACCCCCUAGACAUAACUAAUGUCGUCGUCCUCUUUGAGGAUUAAGACUAGCCUCUUAGCUUACAUCAUUACAUUCAUAGGUCAAAAUUAGUGAAAAUUUAAAACUUUUUACUACUUUUACAUUGAGGUUUACAUAGACCUCUACAUACACGUAAUAUAUACAUAUCGAGUAUAUAUAGACCCUUCGUAUAGGAAGAUUACUUAGUCUUCUACUUUUAUUGCACAUAGAUACAUAGAAUAUAACAUAGUCUCAAAAGCAUGUCUAAUAUCCAAAUGAAAAGGAAAGAAUAUAAUAGUCUUAAAACUAAAACAACAUCAUAGGCUUGAUAGUGACACUAUCCUUGGAAAGUGAGGACCUACCCAACUUGGAUGAUUAAGAAUUCCAAGUUUUCUUCAAAGUCGUCUCCAAAAGCUCUUCAACGACCAGAACCUACAAUGUAAGGGAAAAAGGAAGAAAUGGGGUUAGUACACUAAUUGUACUAUGUAUGAGACUAUAUGCACACAUAUCAUGAAAACAUGCUAAAAGGGGAAAGUUCAUUAAAUAUGCAAUUUACUUUGAAAACCUUUAUGCAAAUUCAACAAGACCAUACCAAAUCAACAAGACAUAUUCAUUAAGUCAUAGACAUGUACAUCACAAGACCAACAACAUCAAAACUAGUCAAGUCAACAUGCAUAUCAUAUAAUUGAAUACAUAGUCAAGUAACUCUAUCAUCAAGUCAUAAAUAACCACAAGCAUGAAUAAGAGUUCAUUAUAACAUAACCAAAGUAAGACAAUUAUCCACGACUACUAUCAAGUCAACAAGUGUAAUGACCAAGCAAAGCCCCAUAACCUUAUUCAAUCAAGUAACUCAACAAGAAUCAUGACCAACAUCCCGCUUCACAUAGCAUGACAUUUAAGAGUACAUAUCAUCAUACUUUAACAAUGUAGACCAAGACAUAUUCAUAAGUGACACCAAUCAACAUAUAGUAUCAACAAUGUGCAAGUUCAUCAUAAACAUAUCAUGUACCACUAUAAGCAUAUUCAUACAUAAGAACAUCCCCUAAGACUCCCUUCAAGACUAACUAGUGCAAUGUUUAGGUGGAGUGCCAUAUCCCUACCUAGACUAAGCUAAACCCCUUAGGUUAUCUUAGUUAGAGUUCAUUCCUUUAAUUCAUUUUACCAUUUGGGAACAUCUUGCCUAACCGACAUAGACCACAUGAGCUAAUGUGGAAUCCAGUGUCAUGGAACCCUAUACUGAAAGAAGGCGGACUAUUUGCCAAGGUAGUAAUAAAACAUGAACAUAGCAACUAUGUAGAACCACUAGUUAGUAUUCCUAUGGGGGCAACAUAGUUCAAGAAUUAGGAGAUAUAGUUGGGACCCUUUUAAUGCUACAUGCAUUGUAAUCUCCAAUCUCAAGAGUAUAUUGGUGAUCUUACAUUCCCUAUGUGAAAAGGGACACUCCUCACUCUAGUUCACUUGGUGCUAAGCUAGAUUCCCUUUUUGAAAUGUCUUUAAUAUCUUUAUUAAUCAUCAUAACUUAGUGUAGGUCAUAGGUUCUAACCCUUGUAUAACAUCAUCAUCAUCAUACCUCAAUAAGAAUUGCAUGAGUAUUGUCCUUUCAUUAUAAUUCAUAUAGGUGAGGUUAGCACAUUAACAUUUUCAUAUCAUGAUAAGGCACACCGGUAAAUUCAUUUACCAUCCUUAUAACAUUUACAUCUUAGCUAACACCUUACAAACCAUAGUCAAGACAUUUCAAUUCAACAUCAUACCAACCCUAUCAAUCCUAAUACAAGUCAUACUCCAAUAUAACAUCAUGACUUAAUCACAAUUAACCAUAAUUGAAGUAAAGAAUAGGGAUCACAAGACUUACCAAGUCUCCUUCAUAAUUCAUCAUCAAUGUCUUACCAUAAACCCUUACUCUAACUAAUUAGGGUGUAGUAUCAUCAUAUAACCAUAACCAACAUGGUAACAAGACUAAUGGAAUCACUACAUCAAAAUCAAAUACUAGUUCAUAGCUUAAUAUAAGACACACAGAUCAAAGUCAUAAUCUAAAGCAAUUACUCAAAAACUAGCAUGGUAGGACUAUAAGUCACCCUAAUCUAUUCAUGAUUAAUACAAAAACAUCAUCUAUUAGUAAUUCAACCAUAACCAAGUCAAUUGAACUAACAUUACACAAUUCUCAUCAAGAUCACAACUUAGGGUUAAGGGGUAAAGGUCAUCUUCUACAAACUAGACCGAUCCAUCAAGAUAUAUCAUAAUUGAGUUAAAUUACAUGUUAAUCUAUUCAUAAUAUCCAAAACAAAUCAUAACAAAGUGAUCCAUAACAACACUUUGGAGAUUGGAUGAAACCCACUUGAAAAAUCAACUUUUGAAAUCAAUUUGGUGGAAACCUUUGAGGAAAUAGGUCUCAAAGGUGAAAAGAAUCCCAUACCCUGCUAAUUGAUGAAGAAAAUUGACCCUUUGCAGCCCUUGAACCCACCUCUCUCUUGGUCUUCAAUGGGGGGUUUCUUUGGGAGAGAUAAAGAAAAGAAGGAAGAGAGUUUUGGGUUUGGGAAUUAUGGGGCUUUUAGUUAUUCUAAUUAGGUUAAGAAUUUACAUAGAUGGUUAACUAACUUAAUUAGACCUCUUCUAAUCCCUAACUAACUUCCUAACUAAUCCAAUUAAUUAAUUAACUUAAGUGAGAGCAUGCAGCAAAACAGACCCCUCACAGACAAGACCCCGAUUGACGGUCCGUCUGUGAGACGACGGCCACUGCUCCCUCUUUGCUGCACAUCCGUCUCUAAGUUCAGAGAUUGUGAAAAAUGACCCUUCCAAGAUUUUGGCUAAGUGACCGUCGAUGCCCCGUCGAUUGACACACCACCCGUCAAUGGCACUCGUCUGUGCACACUGCCUUGGGCAGUCCUUUGACCCCAAAAUGCAAAGGUCCUUCUCAAGGGCCCUUGGUUGGUCCUUGGGGGGUUGUGCCCGAAAGUUUCGACUAUGAAUUAACUCUAAUACAUGUUAGACACCCUUCCACCAAUUUUCAUCAUUUUCCGACUCCUAAAAGCUAGUCAAAUAGGCUAAGACACGCUAGUACCUCCUUGAACUAGUUUCCGAACGUCACAGACGUUUUGUUUUUUAGACUUCCUAAAUGACUUAUAUUCAUUAAAGUAGACCUUAAAACAUUGUCUAAACCUAAUCACACUCAUGUUAGGCUCUAGAACACGUCUUGGAUUUUCAAAGUGUUACAUUUGUCAUUUCAAUUGUUGCCUUGUUACCGUAGAAUAUUUUUAUUGCACCCUCUUGCCGAAGGAAAACAUCAACUGACAUUUUUCGUAACCAUAUGGCUUGACAAGCUGCUGAAGUUACAAUAACAUAUUCUGCUUCCGAUGAUGAUAAUGCAAACAUGUCCUACUUUUUUGAGCUCCAAAAAAUCGCUCCAGAUCCUAAUUGAAAACAUCCCUAGAAGUACUCUUUCUGUUAUCUACAUAUCUUGCCCAAUCACUAUCGAUGUAUACUGUCAGGCUAAAAUCUACAUCUUUGGAGUAACAAAUCCCGAAGCCAACUGUCCAAGAAACAUAACAUAAAACUCCUUUGGCAGCACCAAGAUGUUGCUUGGUAGGACUAUGCAUAUACCUAGCCUAGACAACAUACUAAUAGAAAACAUAAUAUCAGGAUGAGUAUGUAUCAGGUAGUUCAAAAACCUCCAAUCAAACUUCUGUAGUGACUAGGAUCGGCAAGAUCUGUGCCAUCUUUAAGCUGAAAUUUUUCAUUUGCAUUCAUGGGUAUGGCAGCCGCUUUACAACUAUGUAUACCGAACUUGAACAUGAGGUCUUUUGCAUACUUCAUUUGAGAAACAAAAAUUCCUGUUUCACUUGAAGACCAACAUACUAUUGCAAAAUAUCUAAAUCUGACAUUUCAAACUUUUUCAUCAUGUAAGAUUUAAAUUCAGCAACUAAAGUUUCACAUGACCCCAUAACUCAUGUCAUCCACACAGAAACAAACUAUCAAAAAAAUCACUCGUACCUUGUUUCUUUACAUACGACUCAUUCUAGCUCCUUUUAAAUCCAUUCCACAGGAAGUAUGAGUCAAUUUUGUUGUACCAUGAUCAUGGCGCUUGUUUUAGUCUAUUAAUGUCUAGCAUGUAGCAACAACAGCUUCAGCCUAGAAAUAUUUUGGUACACCUUGAGCUUGCAUCAUGCUUCCUACUCAUUUCAAUGACUGUUAGAUACUUUCGUUCUGCAACACAUAAUUGUAUUAGUAUUGGUGGGGUGUGCAUACACAGUAAAACAUAAAACUUUAAUUAUAAAUCCAACUUAAUGUAAAAAAAUUGUUUUAGUAUUGGUGGGGUGCGCCAAGCCCGUGCAGUAGUGCAACGCAUGAGCGACGCACAAGAGCCCAGGUAGCAAGCUACCUUCAUGGAUUCUACCCCUUAAAAAAUUGAGUUAAUAUCGUGUGAAUCAAUGAUCCACAUAUCAGAUAUUAAACUGAUAAGAACAGAUACUACACUUGAUCUUAGCCAAAAGGCCGAGAAAGGUAUGCUUAAUUCGUUGUAAAUGAGUGGCUUUUGUGACAAAAAGUAGCGCUCAAGUCCUGUUUCGAUACCGAUGUGGGAAAACUAACACAUGGACAUCUAACUUGAACUAAAAAUUAUGAGAUGCACUUACAUGAUAAAUGAAAUGUUAAAAAAAAGAAAUAAAACUUCAAACACUACUCUUUGUUAAUAUUUGCUCACGUUUCAUGCAAAUUCUAAUCUAGCUCUUCCUUUUCUUAAGUGAUUUUUUUUAAUGCUUAAAAAUACUUAUGAUAGGCAUUUGGAUAAACAAGUUGUGAAUACUCAAUUUUGUAACCUCCAGCUAAUAUACUCCUUCCUUUUCAUGUUAGUUGUCAACUUUUUUAUUUUCACACUUCCUUUUGAUAUCAUAUUAGAGAACGAAUUGAAAUGAAUGCAAAACUAAAAGCAAAACAUGAGUCAAAGACUAAUCUUUGAUUGGAACUUUUCUAGAUGAAGCAUAAGCUUACUGGUUCCUUCUUCGUAUGGUUCUUCAUGAUUUUGCCCCGUAUUCAUAGAGAACCUCCUUUAGCUUUUACCUCUCCGUCCAUUUUUAUUUGUCAUGUUUCUCUUUUCGAAAGUUAAUUAGACUAUUUUUCAAUGUUUACGCUAAUUCGAUAUUUUAAACAAAAAUUUUUGAUACUCAAAAACUAUAUGAAAAGUACAUUAAAUUGCAAUUUUUGCCAUGUCAAUAUGAUGAAAAAUUACAUGUUAGUCAAAGUUCUUACAAUUUGACUCUAGAAAUAAAAAUCAUGACAAACAAUAGGAAGGAAGCAUAGCGGAGUUCAUUUGCUAGAAUAUGAGUGGGGGAUUAGCUUUUCUCAUCAAACCUUUAACUUUUAUAACUCUGAUAAGUUUGAUUACUCAAGGCAAUUUACAUUUUAUUCUUUAUGAUGCUUGAGAUGUUUAGUCCUUGCAACCAGAAGAUCUGCUAAAAUUAAAAUUUUCAACCAUAUGUGAUAAAUAUUUAAGACCACAAUUCUUAAAAACCGUACUAGUCAAAGGCCCUAAAAUUUGUACCAGAAUUGGUGGGGUGCGCCAGGCCCAAGCAGUAGUGCAACGCAUGGGCGACGCUCAAGAGCCCAGGUAGCAAGCUACCUUAAUGGACUCUUCCCCUUAAAAAAUUGAGUUAAUAUCGUGUGGAUCGAUGAUCCACAUAUCAGAUAUUAAACUGAUAAGAACAGAUACUACACUUGAUCUUAGCCAAAAGGCCGAGAAAGGUAU
rnacentral:lncRNA from 1 species